CGCUGCAACAAUCUAAAACCCUAGAUAUCGAAGUUCCCCAAGAGAAAGUAGGGAAAUCAGAAUCAAAAUCAAAUGUCGGAGAGGGAGGAUUCUGAUUCGGACGUGCCGGAGGAGUUUACCUCGGAGCAGGGAAUACAGCAAGACGAAGAGAUAAGAAAAGUUCAAAAAGAAAAUAAAACAAGAAUUGUUCGUGAGGGUAAAGAACGUCGCAGAUUAUGGGCACAAAGGAAAACACCACGACCUUCUAAAGGAGAUGAAAGUGUACAGGAUGUAACGGAAACUGAAACAGAAAAGGAGCCUUUGGGUACUGGGGGGAUGCUUCCAAAUGAGAUUGUUCAACUGCUUGCAGCUCGUGAGAAGAAAGUUUUCUUAUCAGACUCAGAGGAUGAGAAGGUUGAGGCAAAGCUUCCUCCUAGAAAGAAAAAGCCUAAAAGCUCGGGGAUAGAGACUGUUAUUUUGAAAGAGAUGUCACCUCCUCAAUGCUUACAGAACUCCUUGGAGUUCCUGAGGAAAAAGAAAAUGCAGGUUUCAAGAUCAUCUUCAGUUUUGAACAACUCCAACCAAGCACUUCGCCUCAUUUCUACUUCUGGUUUGUUAAGUAAGAAAUGACAAUUUGUGUGUUCUUGUUAACGUGUCUGUCCUUUGGUAGACUGGGCACCACAAAGCCUUUGUAAGACAUAAGCCAAUUUGCCUAGAAAAGGCGAGAAUUAUUCCUCUGAUUUAUAGCCAUUUGCAGUGCAGGCCUCUAUACGGUUAAUGCCAUAUUGAAGCAUUAUUUGGUCAUCCUUAGGCCUUAGCUUUAGUAGAGCACAUAUUUGUAAUCCUUAGGCCUUAGCUUUAUUAAAGCGCAUAUUUUUAAUGGACGAACUUUUUAUGGCCUUAUUUGAUUCUCAUGAAUGCCCA
rnacentral:misc_RNA from 1 species